rnacentral:misc_RNA from 1 species
CUACUUGUCCUCUCUGCAAGUACAACAUUGUCAAAGGAAAUGAACAAGUAUGAUGAAAGGGAUAGGGAAACCCACAAACAGCUGGUUUCAUCCACCUGCUCUCUGUUUAUCUUUCCGUGCAGAAUAGAUCAGGGCAAAAGGAAAGAAGCUUCUCCAAAUUCUUGGCAAAAUUACAGUAUAUGGAGCUGAAUUUGUCAAUAGAGCUGCCUUUGUCUUUUCCGGCCUUUGGAGUUUUCUCAAUUUGUGUUUAGUUGUUUCAGAAUUUGCUGAAAAGAAAAAAA